rfam:Schistosoma mattheei strain Denwood, Zambia genome assembly, scaffold: SMTD_scaffold0004722
GCAUUGUUGAUGAGUCCCACCAUAGGACGAAACAGCCGUCUAGUAC